CUGGGGAGUCUGUGGGUAGGAAGUGGGGAGUAGUCUUCCUUCCAGUACUUGAAAAUCAUUGAGAAAAGCCAAGAGAGAAUUUCCUCAUCUCUGAUGCUGUCAACAGUGACUGGACAAUGAUGCUCUAUGUUCUACCACUUCUGAAUUCUGAAAUCUGGACACUGGAAACUUGCUGGAGCCUGAAAGUUGAUUCUCUCCUACCAUGUGGUUGUUUGGGAUCAGACUAUGGUCCUCAGGCAAGAUGCCCUCACCCACUGAGCAUCUUACCGGUGCCACCUAACUCUUCAUUUCUUCUUCCACCUUCCAUCUUGAGCACUGGAUAAAGGAAAGCAAAUGUCUGAAGAGGCACAGUCUCUAAUCUCAGCACUCAAGAGGCAGAGCCAGAUGGAUCCCUGUGAAAUCACGGUCAACCUGGUCUACAUAAGAGGCUUGUAGGCAAGCCAGGGCUACAUUUUAUGGGGUGUAUGUCUGGCUGACCAUUGCUGAGCCUCUAUGAACUAGCUUCAAACAUAUGAUUUAUUCUCUCUCCACACAUCUAUUGCUGAUUUAAAUAAUUUUCUUCCUCCACAUUUUGGAUAAGUCUUUUGUGUCUCUAUAUGAUUGGAAGCAGAUUGUUCUAAUCAGUUUCUCCUAAACCUACCUUGCUCUGCUCAAGGUUUAACAGUCAUCCCACCCGAGUCAGCCGCUGUAAGUCACUGUUUCCA